rnacentral:rRNA from 1 species
ACGGUACCUACAGAAGAAGCACCGGCCAACUACGUGCCAGCAGCCGCGGUAAUACGUAGGGUGCGAGCGUUGUCCGGAAUUAUUGGGCGUAAAGGGCUCGUAGGCGGUUUGUCACGUCGGGAGUGAAAUCUCAGGGCUUAACCCUGAGCCUGCUUCCGAUACGGGCAGACUAGAGGUAUGCAGGGGAGAACGGAAUUCCUGGUGUAGCGGUGAAAUGCGCAGAUAUCAGGAGGAACACCGGUGGCGAAGGCGGUUCUCUGGGCAUUACCUGACGCUGGGGAGCGAAAGUGUGGGGAGCGAACAGGAUUAGAUACCCUGGUAGUCCACACCGUAAACGGUGGGCGCUAGGUGUGGGACUCAUUCCACGAGUUCCGUGCCGCAGCUAACGCAUUAAGCGCCCCGCCUGGGGAGUACGGCCGCAAGGCUAAAACUCAAAGGAAUUGACGGGGGCCCGCACAAGCGGCGGAGCAUGCGGAUUAAUUCGAUGCAACGCGAAGAACCUUACCUAGGUUUGACAUAUACCGGAAAGCUCUAGAGAUAGAGCCCCUUUUGUC